rnacentral:lncRNA from 1 species
UCCAGGACCACGAGGUAGAAGCUCCCCAGGCAGGAGAGCUCAAACUGAAUUUCGAUGGCUGUUCCAUCGGGAACCCGGGCCCAUCAGGUGUAGGAGCCAUUCUCAGAGACCACCUUGGUUCUACACUGGCCACUGUUUCCAAACAUAUUGGCCACACCAACUCUAUGGAAGCCGAAGCCCUCGUGCUUUUGGAAGACCUAAAACUCAUUCAACCCUUCCACUUACACUCCUUAGUGGUGGAAGGUGAAUGCAAGAACACCAUUUCUUGGGCACAGAGACUUUCUUGUUCACCUCCCCCUGGUUCCUCAUGCAAGCGUUUGACGAGAUUCAUCACCUUUGCAGGAAUAUGUCUGUCGUGUGGAUGCAUACUUGGAGAGAAGGAAACCACGAAGCUGAUACGCUCUCCAAAGAAGCAGCUAUGUUGGUGGACAACUAAUUUUUGGUUUUUACUUUUUUUGGGCUGUUCUUUUUUGUUCAUCGAACGGACCUAUUUUAUUAGGUUGCUACCUUGUUGUAGCCUCCUAAAAAAGGAAGUGCUCCGGCCUCUUAUUUUAUUUCCCCUUGAGCAUUCUUUUAUGUGGAUCACCAAGGUCUUUUGUACUCUACUUUCCCCACUAUCAAUUCAAGGUUAACAUUUUCAAAAAAAGAAAAAAUACUAUCCCCUUAGGAAACAAACCGAAUGUCCUAUUGACGAGGGUCAGAACAUGGACAUUAGCCUCCUCUAGUCCCAGGAGUGUAAAGCAUAUAACAAAGCAACAUAGUCUAAUCAAAACCAAACAAUCAUCCAGAGGACCUUUUACCUAGAAUGCUCAUGGUGAUGUUAUUCUCCAUCAAGUGCUUACGCCUCCCACCGGAACAAGGGAAGCUAAACGCAUCUACCUCCCUUAUGUGUUUUGAUGCUCCCAAACCCAUAGACCAACUAAUGCAAAGUGAAUAAACAUCCAUUACCUAGUGCAUAAAGUAGCAUAAAUAGUGGAGUAAAUGGUUCGUGCCACAUUCAACUUAGAGCAUUCACGAGUGAGUGGCAGAUCUAUCCCCAAUCGUAAUGGUGAAAUCUCACUGUUUACCAUUGGGUGCUUCACUUGCCUCACCUUCAUUUUGCCCUUGGCAACCUCAACUUCCAUUUCGUCAUUUCCUCUUGGGAAUGUUGCCCUUAGGCUUGCUCUUGGGAUUGUCACUUCCCUUGAGUCCAACAUGGCAAGCAUGGCGCUGCCACUAUCACUCAUAUACAGUGUUGGAAAAAUUGAACC